rnacentral:lncRNA from 1 species
CCCAGCCCUCCACUCCGCACCCCACUCACCACCUCACUCCACACAUCUCCUCAUUCCACGCAUCUCCUCACUCCACACAUCUCCUCACUCCACACAUCUCACUCCACACAUCUCACUCCACACAUCUCACUCCACACAUCACCUCACUCCACGCAUCUCACUCCACACAUCUCACUCCACGCAUCUCACUCCACACGUCUCACUCCACACAUCAUACUCCACACAUCUCACUCCACACAUCUCCUCAUUCCACACAUCUCACUCCACACAUCACCUCACUCCACGCAUCUCACUCCACACAUCUCACUCCACACAUCUCACUCCACACAUCACCUCACUCCACGCAUCUCACUCCACACAUCAUACUCCACACAUCUCACUCCACACAUCACCUCACUCCACGCAUCUCACUCCACACAUCUCCUCACUCCACGCAUCUCACUCCACACAUCUCACUCCACACAUCUCACUCCACACAUCUCCUCAUUCCACACAUCUCACUCCACACAUCACCUCACUCCACACAUCUCCUCACUCCACACAUCUCACUCCACGCAUCUCCUCACUCCAUGCGUCUCCUCACUCCACGCAUCUCCUCACACCACGCAUCUCACUCCACACAUCUCCUCACUCCACGCAUCUCACUCCACACAUCUCCUCACUCCACACAUCUCACUCCACGCAUCUCCUCACUCCACACGUCUCCUCACUCCACACAUCUCCUCACUCCACACAUCUCACUCCACACAUCUCACUCCACACAUCUCCUCACUCCACACAUCUCCUCACUCCACACAUCUCCUCUCUCCACGCAUCUCACUCCACACAUCUCCUCUCUCCACACAUCUCACUCCACACAUCUCCUCACUCCACAGAAAUCCUCACUGUACGCAUCUCCUUAUCCCACGCCUCCCCUCGUCCCACGUCCCGUGGUCACACUCAUGUCCUCACUGCACACCUCCUGCUGCCUUCUGCAAGGUUCGACUGCUGACUUUGCUUCCCACAGCAUUUCCACUGCUUGACACAGGUGAAUGGCUCCGACCCCAUUUCUGAC